rnacentral:lncRNA from 1 species
CUCGUCCCGGCUGCGCGCGCCGCCGACUCACCGAGCGAAGCCUGCACCGUCUCGGCCGCGGAGAAGGCGAGCAGCGAGCCCUCUUUGGCCAGGAAGCCUUUGCCGUCCUCCGCGUCAGCCUGCAGCGCCUCCGCCUUGUCGAAGUUACCGCCGCCGGGCAGCGGCUGCGGCGCGAACUUGCGGGCCGCUGCCGCCUCCUGGUGCUGGGGCGACGCGGAGAAGCCGCCGGGGAGCGUGGCCAUGAGCGUAGAGGCGCUAAUUAAGCACGUUGCGAACGCAAGGAGUGCUCACCCUGGCGCCGCCGCCCGGUUUCCAGCGCGAGGACUCGAGGGCGCGCGGUUCCUCUUUGCUAACUGCAGGAUGGAGCCGAUCCCCUCAGGAUGUUUCCCCUGUUCUCGACAACGACCGUGCAGAGCGCACCAGCGCGAGCGGGGCUUCCUCGAGUCUCCAAGGCCCGGGCUUCAACUUCCCGGGUCUAGACGUCAGCCCUGAACCGCCAACAGCACCGGGUUGGGGAGAAGGAAAGAAGGGCAUUGUUAGUUCGGUCAUUAAAAAUCAGCUCACGCCGAGGAGCUAGUGGUUGGGGAGUUGGCCCGUGUUGGACGUGUGUUAUGUAUCACUUACAAGCACAUUUAAUUGGGAGAUAAAGAUAAAUCGAUCUUUAUGAAUUUAUCGA